UGCAGUCGUACGAAGACUUUUAGUCUUAGUGGCGGACGGGUGAGUAACACGUGAGAAUCUGCCCUUAGGAGGAGGAUAACAGCUGGAAACGGUUGCUAAUACUCCAUAUGCCGAGAGGUGAAAGGAUGUAUCUGCCUAAGGAGGAGCUCGCGUCUGAUUAGCUAGUUGGUGGGGUAAUGGCCUACCAAGGCGACGAUCAGUAGCUGGUUUGAGAGGAUGAUCAGCCACACUGGGACUGAGACACGGCCCAGACUCCUACGGGAGGCAGCAGUAGGGAAUUUUCCGCAAUGGGCGAAAGCCUGACGGAGCAAUACCGCGUGAGGGAUGACGGCCUGUGGGUUGUAAACCUCUUUUCUCAAGGAAGAAGUUCUGACGGUACUUGAGGAAUAAGCAUCGGCUAACUCUGUGCCAGCAGCCGCGGUAAUACAGAGGAUGCAAGCGUUAUCCGGAAUCACUGGGCAUAAAGCGUCUGUAGGUUGUUUAGUAAGUCUGCUGUUAAAGACUGGGGCUCAACCCCAGAAAAGCAGUGGAAACUGCUAGACUUGAGUGUGGUAGAGGUAGAGGGAAUUCCUAGUGUAGCGGUGAAAUGCGUAGAUAUUAGGAAGAACACCAAUGGCGAAGGCACUCUACUGGGCCAUAACUGACACUCAGAGACGACAGCUAGGGGAGCAAAUGGGAUUAGAUACCCCAGUAGUCCUAGCCGUAAACGAUGGAUACUAGAUGUUGCACGUAUUAACCCGUGCAGUAUCGUA
rnacentral:rRNA from 1 species